ACAGCUGUGUCCGGAAGCAGCAAGCGUGCCUGGGCAGAGACCCCCAGAGUGUAAAGAGGUCCUGGGACAGGCUUUGCACGUUCCACAAGAGUGUCUCGCUGUGUCGUCUAGACUGGAGUGCAGUGGUGUGAUCAUGGCUCAACUCCUAGGCUCAAGCGAUCCUCCUGCCUCAGCCUCCGGAGUAGCUGCUGGGACUGCAGGAACGUGCCACCAUGCCUGGCUCAAACACAAAGUUUUUUCAUAAAACUCACUUGGCGGCAAAAUUCUACCUUACCUGAAGUUAUUUACGGGGUUUUUAAUUUCCACUUUGAAUAAAUAUUCACAUCUUGUUGAGUAGUAUUAUAGUUUCAGGUAAGGGAUUAGGAAAGGAGCUGUUAAGUGGAAGGGCUCUCUCGGGUGGUUUCUGCAACUGUGGUCCCAGAGGAAGCACUCACCUCCUGAGCAACAACGCGAAGGGUGUCCAGAUGGCGGCCAGUGAUGUAAACUGUGGCGCCUGCUUUGCAGAGCUGCAAGGCAAUGCCACGGCCAAUACCCCUGGAGGCACCAGUCACCACACACACUUGGCCAUUCAUGGGAGCUGCCAUGACUCACAGGCAAAGGAGGCAGGUCUGUGGAAGCAAAGACUUACUCUGAGGGAAGCCUGGAGACUGUGUGUGUGUUGGGGCGAGGUUGGGGGGUAGGGGAGAACCU
rnacentral:lncRNA from 1 species